rnacentral:misc_RNA from 1 species
AAAAUUAUUAAUAAAAUCCAAUAAAUUUUUAAAAUAUUAGGGCCUAGUGCCCGUCAAAAUUUGAUAGACAAUCGAAAAAAUAAACUUUUGAGAAACUACCACUGUAUUUAUACCCUAAAAAAAUUUUAAAUACUCACUAAAAUUUUAUAGGGCCCUAUACCCCAUAAAAUUUAUUUGGUAAUAAUAAAAAAAUACUUUUUUUUUGGGGAAAAUUACCACUGUACCCCCUAAAAAACUUUUGAAACUCAAAAGGGCUGGUGCCCUCUUGGCCCAAGCAUGACUCCAUCCCUAUAUGUUAGCAGAAGCAGCAACUGCUCUAUAUUCCCCUUUUGUGGCUUUGUCAAUUGUAUUAUAACAAGUAAUUACAUUGACACCCAUGACCUAACUAUCUACCAGAAUAUCAUAAUGAACUUAGGUUCUUGCCUUCUCAGAAUUCUGCUGUGACCUGGCACUCUCCCAUUGCUUAACAAGUUCUGCAUAUCCUUCAGCAGAAUUAAUAGCAAAUUCUGUGAGAGAACUCAAUGCAACAGACAUUCCAGCACAGAGUACCCUCACGGCAACUUCAGCCAUUUUCUCUGCAGUUACAACCUCUUCUAUUUCACCCACAUGCACUAGUUCCAUAUUUGAUCCUGGUUCACUCACCAACCCAGCACCAUAUCUCUUUGAGCCACUCCUGUGAGGAUCAUCCCUUAGCUGCUGUGCAUAAAGAGACCCCAUACCAGCAGCAAAAAAAUCCAUUCCAUCAAGAACUGGCAUCUCCUGAAUAGCAUCAAGAAACCUUAACCAUUGAAUACAAAGUCCAAAUAUUGGAAAUGUCCCACUGGACCGACGAGGAGAGAACGGUAGUUUUGAUGUGUCAGGAUCUGAUCUAACACACCUGAGGAGCCAGCCAGUUAGUGCAUGCAUAUAGGAUCGUUGAGAAGUGAUCCAAACUUCAAAGCAGCCUCGCCAAUUCCUUAGUUCUGUCUCGAGAUUGGCAGCUGAUCUAGCUAGUCUUUGAGGAUCAGCAACCGAUAUGGAGGAGCGCUUCUUUGCAUUUAAUUUUGAAGGCGUGCCUGCUAGUAAAAGUUUUGCCUCAUCUAAUGUCCGCUUUUGUGACAGAUGGCAUUCUGCCAUUACUUGCCACAUUCUUGCUAGCCCUUGCACCAAUUCCAAAAGUUGAGGCUGCAAUUCUUCAUCCCUUAAAGCUUCUAUUCUUUUUGAAACAGCUUCAGCUGAGUGAAUUGAAACUUGUAAUUGGGUAUACAGAUGUCUAAUGGCUACUCUUGUUUUAUCCACUGCAGAAGGGUCUUCUCCUUUUACAUCUUGGUUCCUGAGUUGCACUUGUUUCUUCUCAUAUGCAAUUCGAACUCUUUCUCCUGACUUGACUUCAUCAUAGAGUUUCUUCUCCCAGACAUAUAAUCUAUCCAAUAUUGAUUGGUGGCUACCAGAGAUAAUGCAGGAUUCUUCAGAGAAGUCGCUACUGCUUUCAUAACCUUCAUCUCUAGAACUAGAGGAAUUGAUAACAAAUCUUGAUGAUGAUGAGCGAGAUGAAGCUGACCGGAACAAAGCCACUGGAUUCAGCAUUUUCAUAGCUGUGAGUUCAUUUGACAUUGAUGAGUAUUGAGCUUUGCCAGACUCUAAUAAUGCUGAAACCUCCUGGGCUGAAUCACAAGCAAUCGUGAACUGAUAUUCAAGAUCCUUGAUAACUUCUGCCAUGCUCGUUGGCCUUCGGUUUACAUAAACAGUAAAAGCCGGAGUUUCUACCUUACUUUCUCCGUCACCAACAGACAUUUCUUGAUUGCGAGCUUCAACCUGUCCGGAAUUUUGAACUCGUGAUAAUUCUAUCUUUGCACUACCUUGUGAUUGUAGUCCUCUCAUUUCAUGUUCACAUUCACUUCCACUAUCAAUUUCAUCCUCGUCCUCGUCCUCAUCCUCAUCAACAUCUUCAACAAGAACUUCUUCUCUAUUGUAACUGGCAUCAACCUUAGCUUGCCCCUUUGUUGCAUUUACCUUGUUAUCUAGUUCUUCUUGUUCAGUUUCGUCUUCUAAAUCGGGAAUCCCUUCUUCUUCUCGAACUUGCCUUAGUCCACUAGUGUCAUCAUCCAUAACCAUCUGAUCAAGGCUACUGCGAGUAGGAUAGCCAUAGUAAUCUAGUGAAGAAAAUGGAUUCCAAAAACCAUCCCACUGUGAAGUUUGAGGUGAAGGGGGAGGAAUAUUGGGCCUGUCAUUGGGGGAAUAAGAGAAGAAUGAUGAAUACACUGGUGGGGAUUGCAUUGCAAAGAAUCCAUCAAACCCAUAAUGGUGUACAGGAGAAUAAGCUUCAACUCGAACAGUUUCCGGUGAUUGAGGUCUCUCCUCAACUGCAACUGCUUGGUUCCCCCCAGACCUUAGGUAAUUUACUUUCAAAGUCGAAUUGUGUCCAGACUGAAGAGGUGGUUGUGAAAAUGAUCCAGGUGAAAUUGAGAUGAAACCUGGACUUACUUUCUUUAUAGGGGUAAAGGGUGGGGUUAUAAAUGAAUCUAACAAGAAUUCUCUAGGCUCAUCUCCAUCAACAUACUCACGAAGAGCUGCUGAAACUCUUUUCAAGGACUGAAUAUAAGCUAAGUGUCCAGAGGCAAACCGUGUUCUUUGCUCUACAGCCUGCUUAAUGAAACGUUUUCUAUCUUUACAAAGCUGAACUGCCUCUUCUUCAUCCAGCUUUGAUGUAGAACAUCCCAUUUCUCAAUUUCUCUAUCUCUCUCUUUCCCUACGAAAUUUACAGGCUUGAACAAACCCAACGGUAGCCUUUCUUAUAUCUCAACAGAUUCAUAUGAAUUUUCAAUAACUGUUCAAGAGAAGCAAAGAAGUUACAUCUAGCCCAUUAUUGACAAAUAUCAAACACAUACAUAGCAAGCAAUGGGAAAAGAAUUUCCUCAGAAACCAGAAAGCCCAAAACAGCUAUGUGCUUUCUUUUCUACAUUUAUAUAUACAAAAACGACUUCAAAAAGGGUUGAUGCUUCUUUUCUUUAUUUUCAAGUCACCAAACAAUUCUAACUUGCAUAACAGAGCAAAGAAACUAGAGAUUCUUUAUGUUCUUGCUUUUCUCUAUUAAUUCUCAACAAUCCAAGAACUCAAUCACUUCAUAUUCCCAUCAAGAACCAACAAAUUUAAAAAAAAAAUAAUGAAAGUAGGAAUCAAUCAAUUUCACAUUAGCUGAAUCAGAACCACCCACUCUCUGCCACAACAUACACUGUAUCAAAACUAAACAGUAUUAGAAGGGAAAGGGUAUUCCUUGUAUAGGAACAGGACGAAGCCUAGAUAAAGAACAGUCUGAAUAAUAUUGAUAUUAUUAUGCAGUACGACUAAGGUUGUUAACAGAUAUCUCAAUUCUUUUCCAAAUUAAGUGCGCCCCGGAUGAAACAAACCACAUAACACGAGUGAGACUCCUAGAUGGACCGUGAACUCAUAAUCCAUUAGAGCAACUGCCUCGCUUUAAUGCUCAUAGCUUGAAACAAGUAUUUUGACAAAAAGAAAUAAGAAUAUUGAUAAAAGAAAAUUUCCAUGAAUAGUAUCAUGAAAAGACUUUACCACUCAACAUCGCUUAUUAAUAGAAAAAGUGAAUGAUGGCUCACAAGAAUGAUGGCGAUUGCAUGAUAAUAAGAAAUACAUGUAUUAUAUACCAUCCAUAGCUUGAGUUAUUGAAUCAUAAUCCAUAAAUGUUCUAGUUGCUCUAUUUUGAGAGGUCUGCAUCAGAAUGAUAGUAUGCCUAUUAGCCUACAUAAGAACAGAAAACAACCGGUCAGUAACCUAGCAAGAUAAGAGCAUAUAACUACUCACCGAUUGAAAACCCAUAAAACUCAAUAGGCAUUAAUGAUAAUUUUUACAUUCUGCAAAAGCACAAAAGGCCUGAUGAAUUAACUUCAAAGAUAUGCAUUCCUAAAUAGCUCUACUAUUGUAAGUAUCCCAAGAUAUACAAAAUAACACAAAGGAGCUCGCCUGCGAAAUCCCUACAAGCUACAGCAGAAUAGCAUUCACUGAAUUAACUUGAUAAAAUAUAGCUCCCUUAAGCUAUCCAACAUGAGAAUAUCAUCAAUAUUCCAUGGCGAAUAUAGUUGAAGAAAUAUGUUACACUGACAUGCUAGGUAAGAAAUAAGAAUCCAUUUCUAGCAUCUAUAAAGUCCAUGUCUUUGCAUCCUCAAAGCCCAAUUCAAACACCAGAGUUCAGUAUUCACAAGAUUUCAAUUAUUAUGAAAACUAGUAAUGAGCUCAAAUCCUCAAAACAACCUAGAAAUGUCCGCUGCCAACCACUAUCAAACCACAUAAACAAGAAACACCUCAUUAAAGAUCAAGAACAAAAAAUUCAAUUUAUUCUUUAUUAGGAACCGGAAACUGAAAUCAUGAAAUUUCAGACAAUAAUUACAGAAUAAAGCAAAAAAGGACGUAGCAUGAGAAUGAGGGGAAAUGAGAAACCCUAACUUUCCGGGGAAAAAGUAGAAAAACCCAACUUUGAUGAAAGUGUGGAGAUUCGAAAGAGCAGCGCGAAAAUUGAUAAAAAAGGAAAUGGGAAGAAGAAAACAGAAAAUCAAAUUACCAUGCGAAAACUGUCAGUACGAUGGCUUCAAUAGCAAGAGCAAGAAUGGAUUCUUUGCUUCAGCUCUACACGCAGAGAGAGAGAAAUAUAUGGAGAGAAAUAUAGAGAGAGAAUUGACUUUUGAA